rnacentral:rRNA from 1 species
AACGAACGCUGGCGGCAGGCCUAACACAUGCAAGUCGAGCGCCCCGCAAGGGGAGCGGCGGACGGGUGAGUAACGCGUGGGAACGUACCCUUUGCUACGGAAUAGCCUCGGGAAACUGGGAGUAAUACCGUAUGUGCCCUUCGGGGGAAAGAUUUAUCGGCAAAGGAUCGGCCCGCGUUGGAUUAGGUAGUUGGCGGGGUAAUGGCCUACCAAGCCGACGAUCCAUAGCUGGUUUGAGAGGAUGAUCAGCCACACUGGGACUGAGACACGGCCCAGACUCCUACGGGAGGCAGCAGUGGGGAAUCUUAGACAAUGGGCGCAAGCCUGAUCUAGCCAUGCCGCGUGAGCGAUGAAGGCCUUAGGGUUGUAAAGCUCUUUCAGUGGGGAAGAUAAUGACUGUACCCACAGAAGAAGCCCCGGCUAACUCCGUGCCAGCAGCCGCAGUAACAC